CGGCGGACGGGUGAGUAACGCGUGGGUAACCUGCCUCAUACAGGGGGAUAACAGUUGGAAACGACUGCUAAUACCGCAUAAGCGCACAGUACCGCAUGGUACCGUGUGAAAAACUCCGGUGGUAUGAGACGGACCCGCGUCUGAUUAGCUAGUUGGUGGGGUAACGGCCUACCAAGGCGACGAUCAGUAGCCGACCUGAGAGGGUGACCGGCCACAUUGGGACUGAGACACGGCCCAA
rnacentral:rRNA from 1 species